rnacentral:lncRNA from 1 species
GAAAGUAAGAGGGUGUAUGUUGACCUUUGGUCUUGAUGUAUAAUGUAGGCUCAUUUUUGCUCCUCCUAAAUCCUUUAUAGGUGAAAUAUUGGUCGAUUCUAUUGUAUCAUGAAUGAAGAGCUUGUUUCAGGCAUAUAAAGCUUUCUUCAAUCUAACACUUUGCCUUCUUGGCCUUUAAUCACAAAUCUCAGUGGUUGCUUUAUAUAGAUCUCUUCUUCAAAAGGGUUUCACCCUUUUGCCUCCAAGGCCUUCAUCCUACACCUCUAAAUUUUUCCAAAAUACCUAACUUACCCCGUAAUUAAAUGAUAUGAAUUUUUAAAAAAAUAAAAGUGGUCAAAGAUUCCUUUUUAGCAUUGUGUGAACAGAGAUAUUUUCUCUCUCAUCUCAUUUCUAUCUUGCAUCUCCUGAGUUCCUUCUCCCUUUCCCCUUGCUCUCUCAAAACACACUCACACUACUCUUCAUUCUCGCACAGGCACCCUGGUUUGUUCUUCCUCUCCCCAUUCUCGUAGACCACUUCGCACACAAGCAGCCCCAUGUACUCUUCCUCUCUCAAUUUUUGCAGACCACUUCGGACACCGGCAGCUGUCCAAGCAUUUUCGCGCUUCCCUCCCCCUCUUACUUUCGUCUUCCUCUCUCGAGCACACACAAGCACACACCCAGCCCCUUGUGCGAAGGUGGGUUUUUAAUAUCUCAUUUUGUUUGGAUCUGGCUUCAGUGCUUUCAGACUUUGAUUGCAUUUUACAGACACACACAAAUAGGAGCAUCAUGUUUGAAUUGGUUUUCUCCAUGUAGUCAUCGACUCGUCUACAACCAACCACUCACUCAGUUCUUCCUGCAGGUAGCCACCCUUGGCUGCAAAACCAAUGGCAAGUGCACCGGUCGCAGCGUAGCAAGUGAU